rnacentral:rRNA from 1 species
GACAGAGGAUGCAAGCGUUAAUCGGAAUUACUGGGCGUAAAGCGCGCGUAGGCGGCUUUGUAAGUUAGAGGUGAAAGCCCAGGGCUUAACCCUGGAAUUGCCUUUAAGACUGCAUCGCUAGAAUCGUGGAGAGGUGAGCGGAAUUCCGAGUGUAGAGGUGAAAUUCGUAGAUAUUCGGAAGAACACCAGUGGCGAAGGCGACUCACUGGACACGUAUUGACGCUGAGGUGCGAAAGCGUGGGGAGCAAACAGG